rnacentral:rRNA from 1 species
GAAAUUACGCCUUCAUGAAGCUGGAAUUGCUAGUAAUGGCAGGUCAGCAUACUGCCGUGAAUACGUUCCCGGGCCUUGUACACGCCGCCCGUCACACCAUGAGAGUUGGAAAUACCCGAAGCCUGUGAGCUAACUUAAAGAGGCAGCAGUCGAAGGUAGAGCCAAUGAUUGGGGUGAAGUCGUAACAAGGUAAC